rnacentral:rRNA from 1 species
AGAGCUUGCUCUCGGGUGACGAGCGGCGGACGGGUGAGUAAUGUCUGGGAAACUGCCUGAUGGAGGGGGAUAACUACUGGAAACGGUAGCUAAUACCGCAUAACGUCGCAAGACCAAAGUGGGGGACCUUCGGGCCUCAUGCCAUCAGAUGUGCCCAGAUGGGAUUAGCUAGUAGGUGGGGUAACGGCUCACCUAGGCGACGAUCCCUAGCUGGUCUGAGAGGAUGACCAGCCACACUGGAACUGAGACACGGUCCAGACUCCUACGGGAGGCAGCAGUGGGGAAUAUUGCACAAUGGGCGCAAGCCUGAUGCAGCCAUGCCGCGUGUGUGAAGAAGGCCUUCGGGUUGUAAAGCACUUUCAGCGGGGAGGAAGGCGGUGAGGUUAAUAACCUCGUCGAUUGACGUUACCCGCAGAAGAAGCACCGGCUAACUCCGUGCCAGCAGCCGCGGUAAUACGGAGGGUGCAAGCGUUAAUCGGAAUUACUGGGCGUAAAGCGCACGCAGGCGGUCUGUCAAGUCGGAUGUGAAAUCCCCGGGCUCAACCUGGGAACUGCAUUCGAAACUGGCAGGCUAGAGUCUUGUAGAGGGGGGUAGAAUUCCUGGGUAAAC